rnacentral:lncRNA from 1 species
AAAUUUAAAAUAAAGUUUAAAAUUUAUUUUUGAGUACUACAUAAUUCGCGGAUAUUAUGAAAGAAAAUAUUUGAGAAAACACGUAGAUAGUAUAGAUAGUAGAUUUAAUUCAUAUCUAAUUCAAAAUUUAAAAUUUAAUUUUGAGUAUUAUGUGAUUGGCGGUUAUUACGUUUAGGAAAGAAAAUAUUUGAAAAAAUGCGUAGAUUCUUUACGUAUUACGUGAUUGGCAAAAAUGUGUAGAUAGUAGAUUUAAUUCAUACUUAAUUCAAAAUUUAAAAUAAAAUUUUAAUUUUAAUUCUGAGUACUAUAUGUUUGGCGGGUAUUAUGAAACAAAAUAUUUGACAAAACACGUAAAUAAUGUAGAUAGUAAAUUUAAUUCAUACUUAAUUCAAAAUUUAAAAUUCAAUUUUGAGUACUAUUUGACUGGCAGUUAUUAUGUUUGAGAAAAAAAUAUUUAAAAAAAUACGUAGGUAUGUGAUAAAUUUAGUUUUACAUAUUACGUGAUUGGCUAAAUUUAAUUUUGUAUAAUACGUGAUUGGAAGAUAACAGAUAUUGAUAUUUUUGUCAACAGAAGGUGACUGAUACUGUUAAUUUUAUUCGUUGGAUGAGAUCCAAUGGCAAAAACUUAAGAUCUAUAUUUGAAAAUAAAUUAUAUUUCGACCCGAUCCGCUAGUAAUGAUAACUUGUUUGGGCCCAACCACCGGCCCAAAAUACUUAAGCUCAGUUAUUAUAUCUAGUCUAGACAAACUUAUAUACCUUCACAUCUAAUCAUAACUAUCCGAUGUGGGAUUAUUAGGGUAUGAUAGACUCCCCCCGUUAAGGUCCUGACGUCCUCAUAAGCCCUAAAUACACAUAACUCAAGAUCACCAGACGAUGUAAGACUUGUCUCGCUAGCCUUGUCAUUCCAACCCUGAUUUAGCCUGUCAUUCACUAACCCUGACUUAGUCUUUUAUUGCGACCCUGACUCAGCCAAGACCCAUCUCACACUUCUGGCUAGUGAACUGGCUCUGAUACCAAAUGUAACAAUCUAACGCUAGCAACAAUAACUCGUUGGGCCCACACCACCAGCCUAAAAUGCUUAAGUCCGAUUAUUAUUAAUAGGGUCACCACCAGCCGAAAAUGCUUAAGUCCAGUUAUUAUUAAUAGGGUGGAGCCCAUCCGAUGUGGGACUAUUGUAGGGUCACAGACUCCCUCUGUUUAGGCUAUGACGUCCUCGUCAGCCCUUUCGUUUAAGCCCUGACGUCUUCAUCAGCUCCGUUUAGGCCCCGACGUUCUCAUCAGCCCUAAACAUACACAGUCCAAGAUCACCAGGUGAUGUGAGACUUGUCUCGUUAACCUUGUCAUUCCGACCCUGACUUUGCCUGUUAUUCACCAACUCUGGGUCAACCAAGACUUAUCUCACACUUCCGGCUAGUGAACUAGCUCUAAUACCAAAUGUAACGACCUAACCCGCUAGUAACAAUAACUCGUUGGGCCCAUACCACCAGCCCAAAAUGCUUAAGUCCAGUUAUUAUUAAUAGGGUGGAGUCCAAUUAUAAACCCAAAGACAACCUCAUUCCCAUCCGAUGUGAGACUAUUGGGGUGUCACAAAAAUUUCAAAACUCACACUUUUAUAAGUAGUAUAGAUAAGUAAUUG